AUCGAGGCCUGGCUCUUGCCCCG
rnacentral:siRNA from 1 species